UACGGGGGGGGCAAGCGUUGUUCGGAAUUACUGGGCGUAAAGGGUUCGUAGGUGGCCUGCUAAGUCACACGUGAAAUCCCUCAGCUUAACUGGGGAACUGCGUCUGAUACUGGUUGGCUUGAGUGCAGGAGAGGAACGCGGAAUUCCAGGUGUAGCGGUGAAAUGCGUAGAUAUCUGGAGGAACACCGGUGGCGAAGGCGGCGUUCUGGACUGUUACUGACACUGAGGAACGAAAGCCAGGGGAGCAAACGGG
rnacentral:rRNA from 1 species